UAGUUUAAACGGCGUCUCAUCAAUAGAAGAGACAAUGGAAAACAAUCUUUCUUUCAAGCCGCUGAUCGUAUUCAAUGCACUUCUUAAACGAAAAUCUGUGAUUUGAAGCACACGUAGUGUAUGUAGCACACGUACAGGAUACAGUUCGGCAGAUUUCAUUAAACAGUCAACUUUGAUACGACUGAGAAGCCUUUAUUCGAUCGUUAACUGCGACGAGGUAUCAAACCGAAGUGCAAUCGCACGCUAUAUGGCCAUGCAAUCAGCUGUUGUACACGCCGUGUGUACAAACGUGUUAAGUACCAUAGAUAUGCUUUCCGGAGUGACCUGUUUGAGGAUGCGUGAAAUCUUUCACAUCCACGUCUAUAUGUGAUCAUCAUAUACGUGUGCUAUAGUGCUAGCCGUCAGUGAAGAGAAAAGGGCGACCGCACCUUUAAGUCAAGUAUCGCAUCUGCAAUGUUCUAUCUCCGCCGCUCGCUUCGUUUUCAGUAGAAGCCCUGUCAAAAAAAAGAUUCACUCGAGGAGUUCCAGCUUUAUACGCAGAGUACGUAACAGUUGUUUGACGCGAUCGUUGCGCACCAUCCGACUACUCGAUCAAAAUACAUGUACCCGUAUUCGCAUUAAGUAUAGACGUGGUGCAAUACAAGAUAACUAAAGGCUUUUUGAGCUAUCCAGAAGACUGACAUCAUUUCGUUAAUCUUAAUCAAAGCGCGUCCAUACUGAAAAAAUAGGCGUCGCUAGUUUCGCUAGUGCCCAUUACCGUGGUAGCUAUGCCAUCGUCACUAAGUUUCCACACCUCUGAUGUAAACAACAAGGGCUCGUUGUUUUAUCUGCAAGUCCCGUUAAGUGUUUUUUGUUUGUAACUUGUGUUUGA